rnacentral:tRNA from 1 species
GAGGGUAUAGCUCAAGUGGUAGAGUGUGUGUUUAGCAUGCAUGAGGUCCUGGGUUCAAUCCCCAGUAUCUCUA